AAACAUGUCUUUUUGAAGUAUAUUUAAAGUCUGACCUGCCCACUGAUUAAUUUUAAAUGGCCGCAGUAUUUUGACUGUGCAAAGGUAGCAUAAUCAUUAGUCUUUUAAUUGAAGGCUGGUAUGAACGGUUGGACGAAGUAUAAGCUGUUUCAUAUAAAUUUAUUAUAGAAUUUUAUAUUUUAGUUAAAAAGCUAAAAUUUUAUUAAAAGACGAGAAGACCCUAUAAAUCUUUAUAUUUAAUGAUAUUUAAAUUUUUUGGAUUUAUUUUAUUUUUAUAUUAUUAAAUAUUUUGUUGGGGUGAUGUUAAAAUUUAAUGAACUUUUAAUUUUUAAAAUCAUUAAUUUAUGAAUUUUUGAUCCAAUAAUAUUUAUUAUAAGACUAAGUUACUUUAGGGAUAACAGCGUAAUUUUUUUUGAGAGUUCAUAUCGAUAAAAGAGUUUGCGACCUCGAUGUUGGAUUAAGGUAUAAUUUUGGGUGUAGCUGUUCAAAUAUUAAGUCUGUUCGACUUUUAAAACCUUACAUGAUC
rnacentral:rRNA from 1 species